UCUCCGCGCUCCGCCCAGGGCUGCCGGCCGCUGGGAUGGGAUUCAGCCGGGCGGGGGGAGCGGGCCCGGCACGGAGCUGUAGGGUCGUCCCCGGGAAGGAGAGCUGCGGCCCCGGGCGGCCGUGUGAAUGCUUAUUCCCCGUGGCUCUUCGCUGAGAACGGAGCAGGGUCAAAAGCUCAAAGGACGGAAUAGUUUGUUGGGUGGAGGCCCUCGGGACAACGCCCUAACUCCCACGCGCUUUUCCUGGGGUUUGUUGUUGUUUUUAGUUGGGGUUGUGUUCUUUGUUUGUUUUUAAAAAAGUAUUUCUACGCAUCAGGUGGUUAUCACUCCAUGCUGAAGCCUGCAGCUAAAGGCGUGGUUGAUGUAAAGAGGUCACCUGGCCUGUGUGAAGCCAUGCUGCAUGGAAGUGGCUUCACCGGGUGCGUGUGGCCCUUUCAGGGUGGUGUCCUUUUGAGGGAAUGAACGACACUUCAGUUCAAAACAUGAGUUCUGGCUGUACCCAGAGUAUUUGGUUUGCUAAUUCAGUGAAAUGCUCUUCGUUUACUGCUAUAUAUUCACGACCUCUAAAGGACCUCACUGUGCUUUUCAGCAUCUUCACAAGGGGAAGUGGAGGGGCAGGUACUGAUCUCUUCACUCUCAUCAGGAUUCAAGGAAACAGCAUCAGUCUGAGUUGGGAGAGUUUUAGGUUUGAUAUCAGGAAAAGAUUUUUCACCCAGAUGGUGGCUGAACACUGGAACAAGCUCCCCAGAAGACAAACAUCUGGGGCAAAGGAGAUUCCAGCCAAGAGGAAGGAUUAUCAUCCUGAACACAGAAGACUAAAUGAUUCUGAAUUUUCAUAUACUAUGUGCAUUUCCUUUGAGUGACUUUUACUAUCUAAUGGAGGUUUAAGGAAUUCUAGUAUUAGCAGAUUUAAAAACAGAGAAAUUGUAAAAGUGACAAACCAUUACCCGCUGGUGCCCUAUUCAUUUCAUCUGGGAAAAGUGCCAAGUCCUGUUUUGUGAGGGUUAGGGGCUGGGAUGUGCUGCAUUAAGAUCUGUUCAAAGUAUUUACAAACUGCUCAGCAAAUACAACCAGCAGCUUUGGUGUUCCUCAAACAUUAGGAGAGGGACAAAUUCUCAUUGGAAUAGGAAUACACCAGCACUAAGUAUCACCAUGACUUAGACACUGCAUGCUCAGGUCCCAUAGUUCAGUGCCUGUUAAGAUGUGUUUCCAAUGUCAGGCAGAACCUGAUAGAUUGUUUUUAAUUCCCUGAGCAUUUUUGGCGGUGAACCUCAUCAGAACAAGAAAAUGUGUUGGUAUGGGCCAGCUCUGUGAUGAAAUUUAUUGUAUGCUCAUACAGUGCAGAGGAUUGUGUGGCAAGAGGAGUGAAAGCUUGCAAAACAUGACUACUUAAUUGGGGUUCCCAUGCCAUAAGAAAGUGUGGUAUGGGUGCUCUUGCCUCUAACCAUGGCAACAAGUAUUGAACACAGGGUGUGUGUGAAAUUAUGUUCUUUAUCCAUACACGAAUGCCUGUUAAAUGAGUCUGAUAAUCAAGCAGCAUUGGCUGACCUCCCAUCUCCAAGAGUUAACCCACUUUAUUCAGAACCAUGAUAUGAAUGAAAAGAAAAAGGGUGCAAUCUAGUCUGAUGCAGAAAUGUUACAGCAUAUGCUCAAAUAUUAAGUAUCAAAUAUUAUUAUGUGUCCAAGAGCUGUUAUAAAUCAGCUUUGUUUAGCACCGUGUGUUUUCUGGUCCUGCACUAGGAUUUUAUUUGCCAAUGUAUAAACUGUUAACUUUAUGCCCAAUGAACACAGGAAAUCUGUUGGCUGACACAAUCAGCUGCAUAAAGACUGUUGCUAUGUAGCUGUUUGCUCAGAGCUUUUGCAUGCUCUCCUGUGUACCCAUGGUAUGUUCUUAUUAGCAUCCUUACUUACUAGAGUACCUGCCUGUACUGAAGGAGGAAGCGUCCCACAAGAGAUUUUUCUCCUUUCUCCAUGAAAAAAAUUUGUGAAUAGUUACUGGGAGAGUCUGGGCUAAAACAUAACUUAUGAUGUAUAAGCUGUCAGGAUGGAUUUAAAGGGAGAAGUUGGAAGAAAAAAGGUAAUUAAUAAUUCCCUCUGAAUAGUAAAGAGAGUGAGGCAGUUUCCUGCCAUUUGGGACUUGGAAAAAAAUGCUUCCUAAUAAAGAGUAAUGCAAGGUUUCUGAUGUGGAAAAGUUAGAGACACAGCGGGGAAGCAAAACCACCAAAAAAGGUUUGAUGUCUGGGAAAUGAAGCAGCAAGGCUCAUAUCCAGUUAACAGGAAGAAAAGUUAGCAAAGUUUUAACUUCUUAAUUGAAUAUAUAGGAAAGCAGUGGGUUGGAAAGUAUGUUCUAGUACAGAAAUCAGUAGGGAUUGGAGAACACAGAAUGGAAACAGCAAGGUAUAACCAAAUAACUAAUGUAAACCUCCAUGUGCUGGAGGGAGGGACUCCAAGUGUGGCAGUCAUGAAUAUCUCACCUGGGCGGAGAUCUGUGCCCUGAUAGAAAGCCAGGGCAGCCUUACAUGCAGGUAGGGGCUAGAAGUGAACAUAAAUGAUAGGGGGAGAAGGAAAUGAAUAAUGGUUCUGUGCCAGACCUAAUCUUCAUUUCUCUGCUUUUCCUUCUUUUCAAACUCUGUUGCUUUUUGUCUUGUUUUAGAUAUUUAACAGCCUGGGGAGAAUGAGGUACAGAGUUUCUAGUGUAUUCUAAUGCACUCUGUAACAUGUGGCCGCUAAUUCUGAGUGUUCAUCUUCAUUCCAUACCUGUAUCACUGUAAGCUACCAUGGAAAAAAAAAAAUUCUCCUUUGCUCCUCUGUUACUUUGUUUUUUGUAGGCCUAAAAAAGAUGGGGGUUUCCAGCUCUGCACCAUACUUUCUAGGGUAUCAACUGAUGUGAUUAUUAAAUAUCAGGAUUUUUGCCUAUUCUCCUGUAAGUGCCUCUCAAUAAGACAGAAAGUACCCUCUGUCCCUCAGUAAAACUUUGUAACUGCCAGAAUAUACUUGCCAUGUCUUGUGAGGGUUGAUUUUGGCUUACAGUGUAUUUCUCAAAAGCUGAGAUAAUGCUGCUAAUGUCUGUGAAGAAAAUAAAGGGUGAUACAUUCCUCUGCAUUGUUGGCCUGUAAAUUGGAAAAAAAUGCUAUGAAAGGAAAAAUUGAUUAUAUUUUUAUGCUUUUAUGUCCAUGAUAUCAUACUUAGCUGCUAGCUGCAAUGACAUUAACCCUGGUGUCUCUCUCUGCUACAUGCAAGGUCACAGCACUGUUUUGCUUUUGCAUUUUAACUUGACCUUUUCUCUAGAAUUUCUAAGUUAUUAGGGUCUUCAGCUACAGAGGAAAUCCACACAUAAGCAUGCUGGUGAAAUUAUUUUCUCAGAGAACAUAUAAAUUAAUGAACAUUGAGCAUGAAGUAUUUACAUUUACAGGAGUGUACUGGCUUGGACAAUGUUUCACUGUGUUCCCCUGGUUACUUCAAAAGAGUUAUUUCAAACCUGCUACUUUUGGAGUGAUCCAGCUGAUUUCUGAGGGACCAGAGAUUAAAUCACCUCUGCCUUACCAGGUUUGAUUCAAACUUAAAUGUCACACUCUCUCAUCUGCAAAUCUGGAUUUCAAUGAUCCACUUAAUAGUCCACUUAACAUUUAAGUUGAACAACUCCCCAGAAGAAGCUAAGAGUGGACAGGCCUGAUUUCCACAGGUUCUAGACGUGCCUCAGGGCUACACACUUGUACUGCAUGGUACACAUGACACAACAUGCAGUGCAAACAGCAGUAAAAUUCUGAUCUAAACUAGGGAGAUGAUUUGUAUUCGGUGCUUUGAGGUCUUGAGUACUAAUGAGUCUAUUGACCUAUGCAGUACUCUGUAGGUUAGAAAGUUAAAGAGUAUAAGGAAAGACAUUUCAAAUCCUAAAGCAGAUAGAAAAAUCCUGUCCAGCUCUUUUAGUCACACUCCACAACCCCUUCUUAAGUUGUACCACAUUUUGUCAUAUUUUAUUACUAUAUUUAUGCUUUGAGGAUUUUGUUACAUCUGUUUGCCAACACACUUGUUUGAAAUGCAUCCAAUGCAUUUGUUUAUGCAUUUUUCCUACAAUAAACUGUUGUAUCUUUGAGUAUUAUAUGUAAGAUUGUUAUUUUAAAAUUCACUGUUGUCUCAUUUCAGCUCUGAUUGUAAUGCAUGUAGUGUAUCUGGCUAUUGAUGGAUUAAACUGAGCAUCAUGUUGGUGGAAAAAGGCUAAUACAUGUGAUGCCAGAGCAGCACAAAGUGAUAUGAUGAAAAAGUCUCAAGUAAGUUUGUGAAGAAAGGAAACCUGUCCAGGAGAUCUUUACUCUCAGCUAACCUAAGGAAAAAAAAAAAAAAUCACUGUGUUUGUAGUCCUUUAUUUGUCACUGUAUUUUAUACUAGAAAUGGAGAAAUUAAAACUUUUGUUCACAGCUGACUUUCAAUAGCUAUGGGAGAUUUUGAUUUAGUGAUUCCCCCCCACCCCAAGACAUCACUUGCUAAGUGUGAAAUCUCACCCAGAAAUCCAGUGACAUCAUCUCAAUAUUACAGAGACAGAACUUUUUUGCCCAUUUUUGUUCCAUUUGAAUGCAGGAUAUUAUUUGAGCACUCACAGUGUCAUUCUCAUAUAUCUGAAUAUAAAGUAAGUCCCUUACAUUUCCUGAAAGGUCUGUAUUCCUCACUAUUGCUCACUUAAUUUCUGAAACUGAAAUUUCUGAAGUUUCUGAAACUGAAUUUCUGAAAUUUUCUGUACUAGACUUGAAAUCUGAAACAUGUUAAUUCCAUAGCUGAAAGCCAUUUUUAAAAUGCUUUACUGUUGCCCAUUUGAUUUCCUGUGGUUGAAGGAGAGUUCCACCAACGUUAUCUUCCUCAGCCUCUUUCCUGUUCCCUGAAAAUUACACUUGGAGAAAACAAGACCACAAGACCACCUAGUUUUUUGAUUGGAUUUUGUUUCAAAAUAUGUCAGGCUGAAAACUGCUUCCUUUUUAAACCAAAAUCAAUGGUCUCUAAAAAAGGGAAAGAGUUUGGAAAACAUUGGAAAGUAUAUCAGAAUAACAUGCAAAGUGACGUAAUACUUUUUCAGGGAAGAAAGGAUAAGGAAAUAUAAAGCAAUAAACACAUCCCUAUGAGUCCAUCAUGCAGCCACAUCUUCCAUGCUAAGGGAGAACUAAUUCCUCUGCUUUCUACUCCCAUUUCAGAAAAGAGGUGUGAUAAAGGAAUAUAACAUCCCAACUGGUGUGGAUGAACUGAAUGCAUAUUCAGUUUCUCACAAUAAGCAAGCAGGUGAUAAAAAGUGACUGGCAUCCUCAAGGUGUAAAUGAAAGAGACUGCCCUUCCCCUCUACACCCUUAGUCCUGAACAGCAGACUGAUUUUCAUGGCAAAAAUUGAAAUUAUUUUAUGCAGGUUGAUUAUAAAAUGAAUACAUACACAAGAAAAAGUGUAUUAAAACCCAGUGUUUUUAAUGAUUGCCUACUGGAAGUCCCAUUUCAGAGAUUCAACAGUCUUUUAUGUAAGUAAGUAAGUAUUGGGCACUUUGCAAAGUGAUUGUGGAGAACAGACUUAUUGCUCAGAGCAGGAGUUUCAAGAAAGAAGUGUUUCAUUUCAGAAAGCUAAAUUACACGGCUGAUACCUAUACAGCACUGGCAGCAACACUGUUCAUUGCAGAAGAGCCAUACUGCGUUAGUCAAAACAUCUAUUUAACCUUCAUCUAUUUUACUCCUCAUGCAGCCAGCAGCAGUACUUAGGCAAACAGUGUAAGAAUAGGGAAAGCAAGUAAGUGUUCCCUCAGUGCAUAUGGACACAUUCAGUCAGAGACUUCCUAAGCCACAGAAAAGAGUUUUGCAUUUAAUGCUCCCGAUGGAUAAAUGGAGAAAAUAUAAUUGACAUGUUUGUGCAUUACAGCAGCUUCUGAAUAAUUAUGGGAAUGUUGCUUUAUGCCUAGAAAAUGUCUGUGAACUUUCCCUUAGGAAAAAGACCUUUUAUAUGUAAGGUGCAUGUUUUUGGUUUGUCCAUGUUAGUGUGUCACACACAUAAUUAAAGUCUUGGGGUUUUAUCUCACUUACCUGCCCUUGUAGGUAUUAGAGAAUAAGCACAUAAUAUUUACACUGUGCAAUUAGAAGAACUUUAAAUUAUUGAACUAUAAAUUAUUGAAGGUACCACUGAAUUGGUAAACAAUAUACAUCUGCCUACCUGUUGCAUUUUAAUAAUCCAUGAUCCAUGGAUUAUUUUAUCUGUGGAUCAUGCCCAACAUAUAACAACAGUAACUAAAAAAGUUUACUUCUUCCCACUGGGCUUAAAUUUGCCAUACGGGGACAUGUAGCUCCACUGGAAAAUUUCUAGACAUCUGAAAACUGAGAUUGAAAAAUAUAUUAGGAAGGGAAGUUAGUAAGGAAGGUGGGAAAAUACUUCCCAUCAUGUUCAACAAAGACCUAAUUUUUUUUUUUAAGUGAAAGGUGACUCAUAGUUCUUGAAGAAAAACAGUGAUCUGUCAACCUUCUGAGCAAAAAAAAUGCAUAGGCCAGCUCAGACAGCAGUUUUCACUUAGAAGCAACCAAAACCAAACCUGAACUUCAACAAUUCUGUUCUUAUUUUCACAUUGUCUGCAUUUGUUUGUGUGCACUCCCAAAUACUGGUGGGUAGAGUUUUGUUUUGUAUGUUUAUGUAGCUUCAUAUGUAACUUCAUCUGGCAUAACACUGGGAAAAAAACAUUGGUCAGGAAGGUACGGCCAAAGAGAUAGCCCAGAUGGCAACCUGACAUUCCUGGUCUUUCCUAGCAAGGUGAACACUGGUGUACAGCCACAGCCUCACAGGGCCUGACUUUGCCUUUGGAACCAACACCCACCAACAGUCCCAGCCCGGAGCCACCACGAUCCCCCCACAGCUGUUAGUCUCCAGGAUGCCUGCGAAGUGAUUACAGAAACUAUAAAUUAAAUAAAUGAUUUCCAAACCCGACCUCUGAAGCGCCACAGCCCUCCGGAGGAAGGAACCGCUUCCCCCUUAGAACCACCUGGGAAGCGGCUGGAGCCCGCUCCCCGCCGCCCCCACUGACCGGCGCUGCCGUUACCGGUCCCACUGCGAACUGAGGAAGCGGUGAUGCUUUUUUUAGGCUGUGGAGCUUUCCCCUUUCGGCUUGCACCUACAAUAAAAAAAACCCCAAACAACGCUUCCCUUUCUGACACUCCGGAAAGCCAGCAGGCGAGGCGCCGGGCCUCCCAGCAGCCCCAGCC